GAAACCCCGCUCUGCUGGGAUCGCACCAGGUUGAACGUGCUUGUACAGCUCUACAGUACCGCUGCCAACUUGUACGAGCGCGCCCAACGUCCACAUCGCCUUUCUACGCCCUCCAGCCCUCGAGCUUGCCUCGCCCUCGGCUCACCAUCACCUUGACUCGCGCGGGCUUGCCGGUCGUUCAGCACGACGAUAGACUGCUGGAAGGAUAUUGGGCAUUCGCCAGAUCGGCCCUGCGACUCUUCCGCGCUCGAUGCUCUUAUCGUCUAGGACUGGCUUGCAAUGCCGAGCGUGCCGUUGUCAGCGUCUACCGA
rnacentral:misc_RNA from 1 species